rnacentral:piRNA from 1 species
UCCAAGGUCAAUUAGUCAAGGUCUCUUGU